rnacentral:misc_RNA from 1 species
UCUCCGUAGGUGAACCUGCGGAGGGAUCAUUACCAGAAGACGCCUCGGCGGAAACGCCGGGGCCUUCGUCCAACCCUUUGUGAACGUAUCUCUAUUGCCCCGGGGGAACCCCGCCUGUCAUGGGCGUGGGCCCCCGGUGGCCAACUCAAACUCUGUUUUUAUUGCCGUCUGAGUAACAAACAAAUCAAAACAAAACUUUCAACAACGGAUCUCUUGGUUCUGGCAUCGAUGAAGAACGCAGC